AUAACUUCGGGAAACCGGAGCUAAUACCGGAUGAUAUUUUGAACCGCAUGGUUCAAAAGUGAAAGACGGUCUUGCUGUCACUUAUAGAUGGAUCCGCGCUGCAUUAGCUAGUUGGUAAGGUAACGGCUUACCAAGGCAACGAUGCAUAGCCGACCUGAGAGGGUGAUCGGCCACACUGGAACUGAGACACGGUCCAGACUCCUACGGGAGGCAGCAGUAGGGAAUCUUCCGCAAUGGGCGAAAGCCUGACGGAGCAACGCCGCGUGAGUGAUGAAGGUCUUCGGAUCGUAAAACUCUGUUAUUAGGGAAGAACAUAUGUGUAAGUAACUGUGCACAUCUUGACGGUACCUAAUCAGAAAGCCACGGCUAACUACGUGCCAGCAGCCGCGGUAAUACGUAGGUGGCAAGCGUUAUCCGGAAUUAUUGGGCGUAAAGCGCGCGUAGGCGGUUUUUUAAGUCUGAUGUGAAAGCCCACGGCUCAACCGUGGAGGGUCAUUGGAAACUGGAAAACUUGAGUGCAGAAGAGGAAAGUGGAAUUCCAUGUGUAGCGGUGAAAUGCGCAGAGAUAUGGAGGAACACCAGUGGCGAAGGCGACUUUCUGGUCUGUAACUGACGCUGAUGUGCGAAAGCGUGGGGAUCAAACAGGAUUAGAUACCCUGGUAGUCCACGCCGUAAACGAUGAGUGCUAAGUGUUAGGGGGUUUCCGCCCCUUAGUGCUGCAGCUAACGCAUUAAGCACUCCGCCUGGGGAGUACGACCGCAAGGUU
rnacentral:rRNA from 1 species